rnacentral:lncRNA from 10 species
CCAUCUCUACUAAAAAUACAAAAAAACCAGCUGGACGUGGUGGAGGGUGCCUGUAAUCCCAUCUACUUGAGAGGCUGAGGCAGGAGAAUCGCUUGAACCUAGGAGGCAGAGGUUGCAGUGAGCAGAGAUCAUGCCACUGCACUCCAACACACACACACACACACACACACACACACAGACACACACACACACUUUAUUUUAUUUUUUUCUUGAGACAGAGUCUCGCUCUGUCGCUCAGGCUGGAGUGCAGUGGCAUGAUCUCGACUCACUGCAACCUCUGCCUCCUGGGUUCAAGCGAUUGUCCUGCCUCAGCCUCCCCAGUAGCUGGGACUACAGGCGUGCACUACCAUGCCCAGCUAAUUUUUGUAUUUUUAGUAAAGAUGGGAGUUUUGCCAUGUUGGCCAGGCUGGUCUCAAACUGCUGACCUCAGGUGAUCCACCUGCCUCGGCCUCUCAACAUGCUGGGAUGAUAGGCAUGAGCUACCCAACCUGGCCCACAUAUACCUUUUCAUAUUAUAAUUGUUAUGUGGAGGUGUAGAGAAAGCCAGGCAUUCGGAUGGACGAGGCACAUCCUCUUGCAGAUUCGAAUUCACAGACUGCCUUGGUUAUCGGCUGGCUGUGUGACCUCAGGUGUGGUGCUUAAUCUCCUUGAUCCAAUUUGCUGGAGGGACACCCUGUGGGACUAUUCUGGCAAACAUGAUCUGUGGCCUAUCCAGCAGCCAUCGGCGUUGACACUGAAAGUCCAGUUUUUUACGGCGUCAGCAGACCCAUUACCACAUCCUCUCAUUUCCCAUUGUCAAUGAUCCCUCAAGGAAAGGUUAGAGGCCAAGGGGAUCCUAAGGGAAACUUGCCUGGAGGCCUCUGGGAAGCUUUCUUCCCUUGAUAAAACAAUCCAUGUGCUCACUUCGGCAGCACAUAUACUAAAAUUGGAAUGAUACAGAGAAGACUAGGAUGGCCCCUGUGCGAGGAUGACACACAAAUUCGCAAAGCAUUCCAUAUUUUUUUGUCCUCAGCAAACUAACACAGGAACAGAAAACCAAACACCGGUCUGAGCACAGUGGCUCACGCCUAUAAUCCCAGCACUUUCGGAGGCCGAGGUGGGCAGAUCACUUGAGGUCUGGAGUUCGAGACCAGCCUGGCCAACAUGGUGAAACCCCAUUUCUACUAAAAAUAUGAAAAUGAGCCAGGCAUGGUGGCACACACCUGUACUCUCAGUUACUCGGGAGGCUGAGGCACAAGAAUUGCUUGAAUCUGGGAAAUGGAGGUUGCAGUGAGCCAAGAUCACACCACUACACUCCAGCCUGGGUGACAGAGUGAGACCCUCUCUCAAAAAAAUAAAGAAGCCGGGCGCGGUGGCUCACACCUGUACUCCCAGCACUUUGGGAGGCUGAGGCAGGUGGAUCACGAGGUCAGGAGAUCAAGACCAUCCUGGCUACCAUGGUGAAACCCUGUCUCUACUAAAAAUACAAAAAAAAAAAUUAACCG